UACGUAGGCAGCAAGCGUUGUUCGGAGUUACUGGGCGUAAAGGGUGUGUAGGCGGUUGGAUAAGUGUGGUGUGAAAUCUCCCGGCUCAACUGGGAGGGUGCGCCGAAUACUGAAUGACUCGAGUGCGGGAGAGGAAAGUGGAAAUUCCUGGUGUAGCGGUGAAAUGCGUAGAUAUCAGGAGGAACACCGGUGGUGUAGACGGCUUUCUGGACCGUAACUGACGCUGAGACACGAAAGCGUGGGUAGCAAACAGG
rnacentral:rRNA from 1 species